rnacentral:lncRNA from 1 species
UUCUAAACUAUAAUUCAGUUAUUUCUCUCCAAAUCCUAGGCAGAAAAAAGAUUUUUUUUUUUACGUUGGCAUCAUGAUGGUAUUUUAGCUAAUUUUCCCGAUGUUAUGUGCGAGCCACAUUUCCAUCAUUAUUGACUUCAUGUGGUUGAUGUUUGAUUGUCACAUACUCUUCCCGACGCUGUUUUUAAGUUGAAUUUGUUCUAAUUUUUACUAAACUUUUUAAUAGAUAAACUUUUAACACAAUGUAUGCAAGUUCAAGCUUCACCCUUCGGAAAAGAGGAAUCAAUCCACAGUUAUUAGAAUGCAGUUUUUUUUAUCAGGUACAAUUUGACACACAAGCUACAC